GAGAAGGUACGCAUAAUUGGUAAUGCAGCCGGCUGUAAACCGGUCGAUUUAGUUCACUGUAGGUUCAAGUCCUGCCCGUCUCA
rnacentral:tRNA from 1 species